UCAUCAUUAGGAUUAUGAUUACCAUUGUUUUCAACAAUGGAAAUAGUCUCCAUUUCUUGAGUGUUUACCACGAACUACGUGCUGUAUAUAUAUUGUCACAUUUUAUCUUUGCUUGUGGUCCUAGAGACAUUGAUAGUGAAACUCUGUUUUAAAGAUGAGACGAUGGAAGCUCAAGUAACCUGCCCAAGGUCACACAAUUGUGGCCUCUCAAACCUGACUGCAAGGAAGGUUGGGAGAUGGUUUAGCUGUGUGCCCAGGACAGCCACGAGGAUGACUCUUCACCCUGGAUUUAGGUUCCCAGAAACCGCAAAGUGAGGUUCACCAGCUGCCUCUGAGACUCACAAAAUAAUGACAGAAGAGUCUGACUUGAUGUUCUAGCAGGUUGAAGAGGCAGGGGAAG
rnacentral:lncRNA from 1 species